rnacentral:rRNA from 1 species
UACAGAGGUGGCAAGCGUUGUUCGGAAUUACUGGGCGUAAAGUGCUCGUAGGCGGCCAACUAAGUCAGACGUGAAAUCCCCAGGCUUAACCUGGGAACUGCGUCUGAUACUGGAUGGCUUGAAUUCGGGAGAGGGAUGCAGAAUUCCAGGUGUAGCGGUGAAAUGCGUAGAUAUCUGGAGGAAUACCGGUGGCGAAGGCGGCAUCCUGGACCGACAUUGACGCUGAGGAGCGAAAGCUAGGGGAGCAAACGGG